CACGGCGCACGGGGGCGUAACACGUGGGCAAUCUGCCCUCCGAUGGGGAAUAACCCCGCGAAAGCGGGGCUAAUUCCGCAUAACAUUCCGGGGACCUAGGUUCCUGGAUUCAAAGCAGUGAUGCGUCGGAGGAGGAGCCCGCGCCCGAUUAGCUAGUUGGUGAGGUAACGGCUCACCAAGGCAAUGAUCGGUAGCUGGUCUGAGAGGAUGGCCAGCCACACUGGAACUGAGACACGGUCCAGACUCCUACGGGAGGCAGCAGUGGGGAAUCUUGCGCAAUGGGCGAAAGCCUGACGCAGCGACGCCGCGUGGGGGAUGAAGCUUCUCGGAGUGUAAACCCCUUUCGACUGGGACGAAUGCCCGCAAGGGAGUGACGGUACCAGUAGAAGAAGCCCCGGCUAACUACGUGCCAGCAGCCGCGGUAAGACGUAGGGGGCCAGCGUUGUUCGGAAUUACUGGGUGUAAAGGGUUCGUAGGCGGUGUGGCAAGGUGGGAGUGAAAUCUCUGGGCCUAACCCAGAGCCUGCUUCCAA
rnacentral:rRNA from 1 species